AUUUGAAAAAAAUAAUGACAGUGUUUUUAAAAAUUGUCAAAUAAUAUAAACCCAUAGAUCCAAGAUCCUCAAGCACUAUAUAGAUGAGGAAAACUUCAACAAUGCACUUCAUAACAUAAUGAAAUUUCUCACAACCAGUGAUGAACAGAAAGUCAUAAGAGGAGACAGAAAAUAAGACACAAUGUACUGUAGAACAAGAGUAAAAAUGACAGCACAGUUUUUGUCAGAAACAAUUGGAGCUAGCAGAUAGUGAAAACAUACCCUUACAAUAGGAAAAUAAAAAUAUAAUCCCUUACUCAGCAAACUGUAUUUUAAUAAUGAAGAAAAAAUAAUUACUUUUUCAGAUAUGCAAAAGCUGAAACACUUUUUCACCAGCAGAUCUGCACUAUAGAAAAUAGUAAAGAAGGACUUUUACAGUGAAGGCUUAUGAUACUAGAUACAAUCAUGGAUUGACAAACAGAAAUAAAAUGCAGAAAUAAAACAAAAUGGCAAUGACAUGGGCAAAUAUACAAGCUGCUUUACUUACCAUUAAAUCUCUUUAAAUAUAAUUGACUUUAAAGAAAAAUAGCAACAUAUUAUGGGAUGUAUAACAAGUAAAAUUCAUGAGAAACAUAGCAUAGAAGCAGACAGGAGAGAAAGCUAUAACAUUGAAAGGUUUUCAUAAUAUACACAAAAUAAUAGAAUAUCUUUAAAAUUAGAGGGGUAAUAAGGUAAAUAUAUAUACUAUAAAACUCUAAAGUAAUCCUUACAACAAAUACAAAAAAUAGCUUGAAGUCAACAAAGGGGAGAAAAUGAAAUUAUGAAAAAAUUCAGUGGAAAGGAAGGUAGAAUAAACAUGAGAUGGAACAAAUAAAAACCAAAGAGCUUGAUGCCUAAAUAGAACCAAAUCAAUAAUCAUGUACAAUGUAAAUGGUAUCUGAACACAUCAAUAAAAGUCAGAGACUUUCAGAUUAGAUCUCUCAGAAAAGCAAAAUGCAACUCCACGUUGCCUAGAAGAAAUACAGAUGUGAUAGGAUUAAAAAAAUAAAAUACAAGUGAACUUCAUUAGUAGGAAAAACAUAUCAAUUUCUGGGCUCAAAUUUAAGCACUAAACUGGAAAUAGAUUAAUUUAUAGAAAAAAAAUGUCUGAAGUUAAAAGAACUCUCAUGCAAUGUUCUAAACAUUCUUAAUGCAGUCAAGUACAAGUCCAGCUCAGUAAUUGAGAGUAUGAGUUAGGUACUUGGCUUAAGAAAAGUAAAAUUUAGAAAUAGUCAUUGAAAUCAAUUAAGGACAAUUGGAAGGUUAAAGGAUACAGAAGAUUUAAGUGAGGUUAGAAGACAUAGUAAUUGAGUGGCAUUAAUCUGUGUAUUUUUAUUUGUCCCCAGGAAGUUUUAGAUUACUCCAUUGCAGGAGUGAAAAUGUCAGCUAAUAGUAUAUAUUCAACAUCUAAAUAUCUAAAAGUUUUUUAUGUCUUCCUUUUUUUUCCUUAUUCCAGUUUCUGUUUGUCUUCUGCCUGUCUUCCCUUCUUCGUUCCAUGGUUUCUUCCUUCUUCCUUCCAUAGGCAUACUUCUUUUCUUUCUUCUUUUUUGAUUAUUUCAUUUUCUUUUUCUUUCAUUCUUUCUUUCUUUCUUGCCCUUUUGCAUUCUCUCUUUUCCUCUCUCUUUUCUUCCAUUCUUCAUUCUUUUCCUUCUUUUUUGUCCCUUCCUUUUGUUCCCCGUUUUUGUUAAAAUAUUUACGUGGCAAAUACUGUGAUAAAGGCAUUAUGAUUAACAAAAAUGUAAAAUUGUUGGCUAUGGACUACUCUUUGGGAUACGAUUAAACAUUUCACAAAACCAAGUGAUGUAACAGACGCAUUUUCGUUGAGUCCUAGAGAAUUGUUACAUAGCCGGGUUCAUAUUCUCAGAAAAUAUUCUAAUGAAGCUAUCAAAUCAAUUGUCUCAUUAUUUCCUUCAUCAACCUACCUACUUGAAUAAAUGAAAAUAUUAAUUUUAAGAGAAGCUCUAAUCAAAUAAUAAGUUUAUAUUGAAGAAUAUUAAUACAUUAUUCAAAAUAGAAUCUGAAAUAUUCAACUCCAGUUUGAGAUCUUUUACUCAUUUGAAAAUGCAAGUACAAAUUUGUGUCUUAUUUAUGCUCUUUUGAUAAACUGUCUAAUCUCAUCAGAUAUGUGAAUUCAGCUGGGUUCACUUUAAUUUUGGGGUUCUGUGAUUAUCAGAAUUAUAAAAUGGUCCUUCAAGAUUUCCUGCACAAAAACCAAAGAAUGUAAAUAUGAUGAGAUAUUAUGAACCUACUAUGUUAUGUCACACUGAAAAAUAAAUUUUUCAGUUGAUUUUGAGUUAUACUUACUCAUAAAUAUAUUCAUUUUGAUUUCUUUAGAAUGUGGAGACUAAGAAAGCAAACCUUUGUGACUUGCCUAAUAAAUAUCUUCUUUCUAGCUAAUCAGAAUUAAUUAAUUCAGUGCACUGCAACAGUGAUGUUGCUUUGAUAUUUAACAGGUCAUGCUGCUUGUUAGAAAAACUAUUUUAUUUUGAAAAAUGAGAAAGGUAUAUUAAAAAUUGCAAGGCUGUGGUCUUGUUCUAUUCGCUCUGCCAGCAAGGUAUUUUUCAACGUGUAUUUGUCCAUAGAAAAGUAAAUUUAAAAAUUACUUAUCUCUGUUUGCAUAUCUGUAUUGUUGAUUUAUAUAUAAUAUUUGUAGAUAUUCCUGGAAAAAACUUGCAGACAUUUGAUAUCAGGAAGAGAUUUAUGGACCUGACAUAUCAUUUUCUGUUAAGCACGCCUGCCUUCCCUUCUACUUCCUGCACCUACUCCACCUCUGUGACAAGACCAACCCCUUCUUUCCCUCUUCCUCCGCUUCUGACUGAACAUAAACAUGAGAAAGAUGGAGACUUUUAUGAUGGCACACUUCCUCUUAAUUAAUAGUAAGUACAUUCUCUCUUCCUUAUGAUUUUCUUAAUAACAUCUUUUACUCUAGCUUACUUUAUUAUAAGAAUACAGUAUAUACUGUAUAUAACGUACAAAAUAUAUGUCAAGUGACUGUUUAUAUUAUAAAUAAGACUUCCAGUCAAC
rnacentral:lncRNA from 10 species